CCCCCGCCCGCUCGUCGCUGUGCGUGCCUACGUACGUGCGUACGCCCCGUUGGGAACUGCAGGGGCGCUCUGUGACGACACCACGUCAACGCUGACGCUCCGGCGUCCGUUCCGAUGAAUAUGCAAAUAUACGGCGAAAGGGAUACGGGUUCAAGCCCUGGUCUGGGAAGAUCCCACAAGCCGUGGAGCAGCUAAGCCGGUGCGCCACAACUACUGAGCCUGCGCUCUAGACCCUGCGAGCCACAUCUACUGAGCCCAUAUGCCACAAUUACUAAAGCCCGCGCACUCUAGGGCCCAUGCUUCACAAGAGAAGGCACCACAAUGAGAAACGCGCGCCGCACGGAAGAGUAGCCCUGCUCACCGCAAGUAGAGAAAGCCCCUGCGCAGCAACGAAGACCCAACACAAACCAAAAAUAAGUAAAUAAAUAAAUAAAUUUACUAAAGAAAAAGAACACUUACCUUCUUGGGUUGUUGUAAGCCUUGCAUGCAAAUUUUGAAUAUAAAAACAUAGUGAAUUAUGUAAAGAGCUUAGAAUGGUGCCAAUCACCCAAUAAACAGCCCUUAUUACCGUA